rnacentral:rRNA from 1 species
UACGUAGGGCGCAAGCGUUGUCCGGAAUUAUUGGGCGUAAAGAGCUCGUAGGCGGCUUGUCACGUCUGCUGUGAAAUCCCGUGGCUCAACUGCGGGCUUGCAGCCGAUACGGGCAGGCUAGAGUUCGGUAGGGGAGACUGGAAUUCCUGGUGUAGCGGUGAAAUGCGCAGAUAUCAGGAGGAACACCGGUGGCGAAGGCGGGUCUCUGGGCCGAUACUGACGCUGAGGAGCGAAAGCGUGGGGAGCGAACAGG